rnacentral:rRNA from 1 species
GCUUGCUUCUCUUGAGAGCGGCGGACGGGUGAGUAAUGCCUAGGAAUCUGCCUGGUAGUGGGGGAUAACGUCUCGGAAACGGACGCUAAUACCGCAUACGUCCUACGGGAGAAAGCAGGGGACCUUCGGGCCUUGCGCUAUCAGAUGAGCCUAGGUCGGAUUAGCUAGUUGGUGAGGUAAUGGCUCACCAAGGCGACGAUCCGUAACUGGUCUGAGAGGAUGAUCAGUCACACUGGAACUGAGACACGGUCCAGACUCCUACGGGAGGCAGCAGUGGGGAAUAUUGGACAAUGGGCGAAAGCCUGAUCCAGCCAUGCCGCGUGUGUGAAGAAGGUCUUCGGAUUGUAAAGCACUUUAAGUUGGGAGGAAGGGCAGUUACCUAAUACGUGAUUGCUUUGACGUUACCGACAGAAUAAGCACCGGCUAACUCUGUGCCAGCAGCCGCGGUAAUACAGAGGGUGCAAGCGUUAAUCGGAAUUACUGGGCGUAAAGCGCGCGUAGGUGGUUUGUUAAGUUGGAUGUGAAAUCCCCGGGCUCAACCUGGGAACUGCAUUCAAAACUGACUGACUAGAGUAUGGUAGAGGGUGGUGGAAUUUCCUGUGUAGCGGUGAAAUGCGUAGAUAUAGGAAGGAACACCAGUGGCGAAGGCGACCACCUGGACUGAUACUGACACUGAGGUGCGAAAGCGUGGGGAGCAAACAGGAUUAGAUACCCUGGUAGUCCACGCCGUAAACGAUGUCAACUAGCCGUUGGGAGCCUUGAGCUCUUAGUGGCGCAGCUAACGCAUUAAGUUGACCGCCUGGGGAGUACGGCCGCAAGGUUAA